rnacentral:rRNA from 1 species
AGGACGAACGCUGGCGGCGUGCUUAACACAUGCAAGUCGAGCGGAAAGGCCCUUCGGGGUACUCGAGCGGCGCACGGGUGCGUAACGCGUGGGAAUCUGCCCUUAGGUACGGAAUAACAGUGAGAAAUUACUGCUAAUACCGUAUGAUGUCUUCGGACCAAAGAUUUAUCGCCUAGGGAUGAGCCCGCGUUGGAUUAGCUAGUUGGUGGGGUAAAGGCCUACCAAGGCGACGAUCCAUAGCUGGUCUGAGAGGAUGAUCAGCCACACUGGGACUGAGACACGGCCCAGACUCCUACGGGAGGCAGCAGUGGGGAAUAUUGGACAAUGGGCGAAAGCCUGAUCCAGCAAUGCCGCGUGAGUGGAGAAGGCCUUCGGGUUGUAAAGCUCUUUUACCCGGGAAGAUAAUGACUGUACCGGGAGAAUAAGCCCCGGCUAACUCCGCGCCAGCAGCCGC